rnacentral:lncRNA from 1 species
AGUGAACCCUAAGUCUAACACUUUCACUCUCGUCCUUCUCUCUGCCUCACACUCACAUGAACCCUGCGCUGCUUCCACACGAAUCGAGCACUCUGCCUCAUACAAACCCUAGUGAUGUCUGACUCCCACGAACCCUAGUGCUUGCUGCUUCCACACGAACCUAGGGCUCUCUGCCUCACACGAACCCUAGCCAUGCCUGCCUCACACGAACUCUGCCUCCAUACGAACCCUAGCGCUCUCUGCCUCACAAAACCCUACUCUCUCUGCCUCUACACGGAACCGAUUUGAAGGUAAUUUGAUGUUUAGGAUUUGUCAUGUGAUUCUAUUUGUGUAUUUCAUUAUGUGUUUCAUCUUUUUACUAGGUAGCUAAAGAGAAAUUGAAGAAAUUUAUCACAGAGGCGGCAGGGGAGAAAGAGUUUCCUGACUCGAGUUCUGAUUUUCGAGCAAUUAAAGCAAGUUAUCACAGAGGCAGGUGAGAGAAUUCUAAAACUCAUUUUUUGUUCCAAUCCUGCUGAAACUGCUUUUCUGUAUCCAAGGGUCUUUGUUGAGUGAGGAGAAUGGUCUGUUUUCUUACAUGGUUCAUAGGUGAAGCUUGCCCAUUCACGUAUGAGUAAAAGAAUGACACUGCAUCGUCUUGACAUUGUUGAAUCUGAUUUGUUGAGAAAGCCAUUUGGCGGUCUGCAACAACCAUUUGCCCUUUCCAGGUUUCAGCCUUGAGGACAAGGCUAACUCUAUUGGGCAGGGAAUUGAUAUCCCACUCAGGUCCAUAGUUGUAAACCUAAGAAUAAAAAGUAGGAUUGAUUGUUUAGUGGUUCUGUUUAGGUGUAUUUCUGUUUCAAUUAGUAGAGAAGGAGUAUUUGGAGAAUGGUCGAUUCUGUUAGAGGGGAGUGGGGUUGGUCUUUUUCCUUUGGAAAAAUGUUGAGAUCAUCCUGGGGGAUUCAUC